CAUAGCCAAGCGGUAAGGCAGCGGAUUUUGAUUCCGUCAUGCGCUGGUUCGAAUCCAGCUG
rnacentral:tRNA from 1 species